CAGUAGCCGCGGUAAAACGGAGGGUGCAAGCGUUAAUCGGAAUUACUGGGCGUAAAGCGCACGCAGGCGGUCUGACAAGUCAGAUGUGAAAUCCCCGGGCUUAACCUGGGAACUGCAUUUGAAACUGUCAGGCUGGAGUCUUGUAGAGGGGGGUGGAAUUCCAGGUGUAGCGGUGAAAUGCGUAGAGAUCUGGAGGAAUACCGGUGGCGAAGGCGGCCCCCUGGACAAAGACUGACGCUCAGGUGCGAAAGCGUGGGGAGCAAACAGGAUUAGAUACCCCUGUAGUCCCUGUCUCUUAUAC
rnacentral:rRNA from 1 species